rnacentral:tRNA from 1 species
CUUCCCGUAGUUCAAUGGAUAGAACGGGCGCCUCCUAAGCGCCAGAUACAGGUUCGAUUCCUGUCGGGAGGACCA